rnacentral:rRNA from 1 species
CCUACGGGUGGCAGCAGUGGGGGAUAUUGCACAAUGGGGGGAACCCUGAUGCAGCGACGCCGCGUGGGUGAAGAAGCGCCUCGGCGCGUAAAGUCCUGUCAGCAGGGAAGAAAAUGACGGUACCUGAAGAAGAAGCCCCGGCUAACUACGUGCCAGCAGCCGCGGUAAUACGUAGGGAGCAAGCGUUCGCCGGAUUUACUGGGAUUAAAGGGGGCGGAGGCGGCGGUGCAAGCCAGGAGUGAAAGCCCAGGGCCGAACCCCGGGACUGCUCUUGGAACUGCGUGGCUGGAGUGCAGGAGGGGCAGGCGGAAUUCCUGGUGUAGCGGUGGAAUGCGUAGAUAGCAGGAGGAACACCGGUGGCGAAGGCGGCCUGCUGGACUGCAACUGACGUUGAGGCCCGAAAGCGUGGGGAGCAAACAGGAUUAGAUACCCUGGUAGUC